rnacentral:piRNA from 2 species
AGGCAGUGUAUUGUUAGCUGGCUGCUUA